rnacentral:misc_RNA from 1 species
AGCAGCCGCGGUAAUUCCAGCUCCAAUAGCGUAUAUUAAAGUUGUUGCAGUUAAAAAGCUCGUAGUUGAAUUUCGGGAUUAAUAUGUUGGUCGUGCCUUGGUACGUACUGGCGUCAUUGAUUUCUACCUUCUGAAGAACCUCGAUGUCAUUAAUUUGGUGUCUUGGGGAAUCAGGACUGUUACUUUGAAAAAAUUAGAGUGUUUAAAGCAAGCUCACGCUUGAAUACAUUAGCAUGGAAUAAUGAAAUAGGACGUUUGAUUCUAUUUUGUUGGUUUCUAGGAUCGACGUAAUGAUUAAUAGGGAUAGUUGGGGGCAUUAGUAUUCAAUUGUCAGAGGUGAAAUUCUUGGAUUUAUUGAAGACUAACUACUGCGAAAGCAUUUGCCAAGGAUGUUUUCAUUAAUCAAGAGCGAAAGUUAGGGGAUCGAAGAACGAUCAGAUACCGUCGUAGUCUUAACCAUAAACUAUGCCGACUAGGGAUCGGAUGAUGUUAAUUUUUUAAUGACUCAUUCGGCGCCUUA